rnacentral:lncRNA from 1 species
AACCCUGCCACAGAGCGUAAACGACUGGGGAUCACACGAAAGCUGGUCAGCCAGGCAGCAUACAGCAGAGCCUAGCAGCGUUAUCAAGUUACAAGUUCCGCACGGGUGUCCGUAAAAGCCGGGGAGCCCAUGGACGGUAAAUCGUUAUUAGUCCGGUUACGUGGUGGACCAUCAUCGUCCUCCCCAGCACGCAGCGCCUUAGAGCAACGUGCCGGGUCUCCCAGUUAGCGAGCGCACAAGCUUACUUCCUGCCGUCUUUCGAAAGUUUCCCGCUGACAGCUCAAACUCUUCCCGCGAACACUAAAAACUUCCCGAUGUAGAUCGCAACCUCUCACAUACGCACAAGAAACGAAAGAGAAAACCGACGCGAUGAUGUGAGCGCCGGCAGCCGUGGCGUGACUGGUGAGACUGCUGAUACAAGGCUCCACGCGCCCUGACGUGGCCAUUUCGCUUAACGAAUUUACACCUUGGUCGGCUCAUUAUCGCAGUAUUUCCGGGGCCCUUGCUUGUCAUGCGAAGGGCAUCGUCUAUACAUUGUUUUGUUUCUAUGUGUUCUUCUACCAUCGUUGACCUUUCCAAAGGCAAGAGGAUGCAAGUUGACAACAUUAUGUGCCGAGAUUGCUGCAAGCACGUCAGUGGGGCGCAGGUACGCGGCCCCAAAUUGCCUCAAGCAUGUUAGUAACAGCAUGCAGCAUCCAGUCAUCACCGAGCAUGCAGUCACUACUAACAAUGUACACGAAUCCUCGCCGUAGGCGGAGAGCCCCUCUAGUCAGUCCAUGAGCGGAAUAAGACGCAGAGGAUUACGAAAUAUUCUUCAACAGUAUCUGACACAUGCGCACAUGCACUGUCCAUCCUUUUGGAUUCCAACGUAACAUGGCCGCCUGCCCACCGCUGCCUUACUUGGCGGGACUUUUCAACGCGCCUCGCUGCAGGGAAAGGAGGUCACGCUCGCCUUCUAGACUAUAAUGAGCCAACGUGCAUGUACAACCUCCUUGUCAUUCCGUCACGGCCGCUCAAAUUACUUCAAGUGUUGGCGCGAUCUACCAGAUCUUUCAUGGCAGCGUCCAGGCACCAGGGCUCUUUGCUGGACGAACUCCCAGCGGUCUAUUCAAUUGCGCUGAGAGGCUCGGCACAGAUUCCACCGCAUUGCACGCCACGUCGCAGUCGCCGUCGCCGGCGACUCCAUGUAUAAAAAAAUGGUGAUCCGUUUGAUUCAGUUCCAACACAUUCUCAGGCAAUAAGUCGCCAGCGAUGUUGGUUUGUAUUGAUCAGUCAUACAUAUUCUCGACAUUUGUUCCUUUCAUGCUUUGUGCCUUUUGGUUUUGAAGUCCGAGCAAAUGCUACCAAGCCAGGAACUGAGGUCCGAGCACCUGAGAACCGCGAUGAACAGCUAAAUAAUUUAACAAAUGACCCGUCGCAUCUUUGCAUCAAAGCCAUUCGUGGGGCUUUCAAGGCGCGAGCAUCCCCCGCACAUGGAGUCAUCGGUCAACCGUUACAAGCCGUUGAAUCACAUCCAGCCGCGCAAGACCCCCAAUAGUACGCGCCAUUACAACCCUAGACACAAACAGUAUGCCAUCCACAAUGAACGCAAAGAUUUUAUCAAGCAUGUGGGCGGAGUCGUACCUUACGGAUGCCGGCCGUACCGUGCCGUACGGAUGCCGUAUGUUCGCUAGGCGGCGCAAGCCCUUAAAACAUUUUAAAGCGAGCUGGAACAUAUGAUGGUGCGAUGGUGCCGAACAUCGCGACGCAACAUUCAAGGGGAACACGUGCACUCCCUGAGCACAUACAUACACCCUACAUACACCCUACAUACAUACCCUACAUACAUACCCUACAUACAUACAUACAUACAUACAUACAUACAUACAUACAUA